CUCCCAUUUCUCCCACCUUCUUCCCGGGAAUAUCGCGCAUCAAUACCAUGCCGCCGCCCUCUACACCGUGCGUUCAACCCGCCACGAAGACCGCCCCUCCUUCCCAGCGAAUCUUCAUGUUGCGUGUUGCCAUGGGUCGUCCCCGCCACGAAGACCGACUCCUCUUCGUCGGCAUCGUUGGCGCGAAGGUCUCCGCCUCGGGCAACCCACCGGCAUCGUCGUCCGGCCAACGGUACCUCCGCGGCACCAAAGUCCAUUCCUCAUGGAUACAUCGAGGACGGACAUGACUGACGACACAACAGUCGCAACCGUUGCUCAAGGUUGCUACUGUUCUCCUCUUGCACCCAUCUUCAUUGUUGACUGAACCUGAAUGGACGGUAACCUUCUUCUCGCCCUCUGCAUUGCAGGUCUGAUUAAGCUCUAGUCUCCUUCACUUUUACCUUCCCACUUGUUUCUGCCUUCCGGUAUUCUUUGUUUUCCACUAGCGUGUGAUACAUGAGUGCAAGGUGCUCGAUGAAAGGUCGGCAAGGAGUCCACUACUAGGAGAUCAAUGCUUGUGGGGGGCAAUGCAGUUGGAUCUGCUGGCACAAAGUGGCACAGGGGUUCCACGAGGACGCUAACGACCGUGUGAUUUAUUAGUGGAAAAAAUGCUUCAGCCCAAAUUGGUCUACUGUUUUCAGUCAAUGUGAAAGGAAGCUUAAUGAUAUCAAUGUAUAUAUGGGAGUUUAGAGGAGUUUUGGGUUUGAGGAGCACUCUGUUUCUUCACUUUAGUCUCUCUCUUCCAGCCUAUUUAUGAUUGGAGAACUCUUAUUGCAGGAAUUGUCAUUUAAAAAGAGAAGGGUUUGUCAAACUAAUUCCUUUUUGCUACAGCUUUCAGUACUGUCCAUUAAAUCUGAUGUGCUUCUAA